rnacentral:rRNA from 1 species
CAGUCGCCGCGGUAAUACGGAGGGAGCUAGCGUUGUUCGGAAUUACUGGGCGUAAAGCGCGCGUAGGCGGUUACUCAAGUCAGAGGUGAAAGCCCGGGGCUCAACCCCGGAACUGCCUUUGAAACUAGGUGACUAGAAUCUUGGAGAGGUCAGUGGAAUUCCGAGUGUAGAGGUGAAAUUCGUAGAUAUUCGGAAGAACACCAGUGGCGAAGGCGACUGACUGGACAAGUAUUGACGCUGAGGUGCGAAAGCGUGGGGAGCAAACAGGAUUAGAUACCCCAGUAGUCCCUGUCUCUUAUAA